AAAUCAACAACUAAACCAGUUUGUUAGAACUUCUUACUGAAUGUUUCUAUUCUUAUUGUGCUGCCUACAGAAAAAUUUCUUUUGACUGAAUGGUGCAUAUUCUUCUCCAGUACACACCAAGUUAGCCUGUACUAUGGAGACAAAAUCCACCUCCUUUUUUAAAAGCUGAUCAAGAAUAACAUGCUGACAUCGCCUGUUUCCUGACAUAGCCUGUAUAAAGUCUCAUCCAAUUUCCUGCUUAAACAGAUGUUCUGGACGUAGCACCCAGGUUGCCAACUCAUCAAAUGGAGUGAUCAGUGGAGAUGGUCAAAGGCCUCUGAAGGAAGGUUGGGCUCUAAAUAAAAGAAAACAUCAGAAGACACAAAAAUUGUGGCAAUGUAUUAGUGGAUAUUUCUUGCAUGAGCUUCAGUCUUUCUCAUCUGGAAGCACAAAGAAGUCCCCACAAGAAAUGAACUAUGAAGGUGUGAUGUUCUACAAACACAUUCAGUGCCCUCCACAAGGGAGACAAACUCAGAGAGAAAAAAUGAAAAACAAAAGCAAUGAAAGGUACAGUUUUCACGACUUUAUUAACUGA
rnacentral:lncRNA from 1 species